CAAGUUGUCCUGGGAGAGCAAAGUACAAACAUCAUUUGUCUUGGGACAAAAGGAAAGGUUUCUACAGGUAGGAACAAUUGAGGGGACAUUGGGUGUAGCGGAGUUUGGCCACACAGUAAGGAUGGAUCAAAGUUCCCCGGAAAAUGGGAAGGCUGAACACGUACCUACGAGUUGAAAUGGCUACAGUUUUUAAUCGUCCUGUGAAGAAGCAGGGGGUGAGGCUACCCUUGGUUAUCAGGAGACAGAAAUGUUUACUGAACGGAGCAACUGCAGGAUCAGGUGGGUGUUUGCCUUCCGGUGGACAUUUCAGAAGGUAAGAGUGGAUGCCUUAAGCCUGCAUGAGGCCAGGGAACAGGGAAGUGCUUCCAUCGUCGUUGACAUACCUCCACCUAGCGGCCAGCCAUGUUUACUACCACUCGGUUCACCCAACCUUCUUCCUGUGUCUGCCAGUCACUCAAGAACUACAAUCCUUCCGCUUUUCUACAGUUGAAGAAUAAAGACCCAAAUAAGUGAGACACAACAAAAACUCCUCAAAUUUCAUCGACAGAUCACUAAUAAAGAUAUUUAAAAUGCGUGUAAUUUACCAAUUGUUGUUAUGACCUUCCCAUAUUUUGAAGCUCAAAUCUGUUUAAAAUAUGCUUCGUGGGCUUUGAUACACCGAUAAUCUUAUAUUUUACUGUGCAGGAAAACGUGAUGGCAGUAAAAGAUUUCUACUUUCUAGUCACUGGGUGGCAAUAAAAUCAAAGUGAAGAAUUUAUCUCCUAGGAGUGGAACCAAGCACAGCCAGUUUCCUUCCCCUCCUCAGCUUGGUACCCCACGGUUCCUCAAAACUAGGUUCUGGGCCCACAUGUUUCAAAUCGUUGCGCUAACGUGAGUGAGAAUUCAUAUCCUAUAGAAGCUAAGUGUAUUAAGUAGUAAACCAGAAGCUUUUAAUUUUAAACAGUGAGUCAAAUUGAAAUGGGAAUUUUAUGACACAUUAUGUGCUUGACAGAUGAAGCUUAUUUGUGUAAGCAACAUAACUAUGGAGUAUUGUAUAGAGAGAGUAAUAGUAAUGAAAUUAAAUAUUCAUGUCUGGUUUUGUCCACAAGACAAGGAAAACAUGAUAUUUAUUGACCACAGAUAAUUCUUCACAUUUAUCAAUUCUCACAUUCAAAAUUUCUGAAACUGCUGUUUCUUUUGAAAUUCCGGUUCCAUGUGGAAUAAAAACACAUGGCACCAUUUCUGUCAUCAGGAAAUCUCAGUCCUCCCAGAAUUAAAUUAAAACAUAAUCGGAUGAUGAAAUAGAAUUGAGUCCCCUUUGAAGGGAGUUGGAAACCAGAGAAGAAUCUCCUAGAGGAGGAGUCCACUCUUCUGCAACCUCCUUUUUGCUGAUCAUAACUUGGACUGUUGUACGAGAUGUUGAAUUGAGUUUCUCCCAUUGGUUCAACCUCUCAGCUGCUGCUGUGGGUCUGAGCCACAGCCAGGUUGGAGUGGUUCUGCGAGUUGGGAGGAUCUCUCAGCCUAGAGUGGCAAUCGCAGGCAGAAAUAGAAUGGGACCCACCCAUGUCAACUACAGAUUGUCUAGUAGCUCUGUGGUAAAAAGAAACAAGUCAAAAAUCAAAUCAUUGUAAUGGGCAAAAUGGUACUACUUCAACAUGUCUUUGAUUUCAAAAAUACAUUGUUUUUAAAACC